AAACCUGAGAGUUUGAUCCUGGCUCAGAACGAACGCUGGCGGCAGGCCUAACACAUGCAAGUCGAACGCUCUCUUCGGAGGGAGUGGCAGACGGGUGAGUAACACGUGGGAACCUACCCCUUGGUACGGAAUAACUGAUGGAAACGUUAGCUAAUACCGUAUGAGCGCUGAGGCGGAAAGAUUUAUCGCCAAGGGAUGGGCCCGCGUAGGAUUAGCUAGUUGGUGGGGUAAAGGCCUACCAAGGCGACGAUCCUUAGCUGGUCUGAGAGGAUGAUC
rfam:Pseudoxanthobacter soli DSM 19599 genome assembly, contig: EJ95DRAFT_scaffold00012.12